GUGCUCACUUCAGCAGCACAUGAACUAAAAUUGGAACAAUACAGAGAAGAUUAUCAUGGUCCUUGCAUGAGGAUGACAUGCAAAUUAGUGAAAGAGUGGACAGAAGUUU
ensembl:snRNA U6 U6 spliceosomal RNA